rnacentral:rRNA from 1 species
UAGCGGAGGAAAAGAAACUAACAAGGAUUCCCCUAGUAACGGCGAGCGAAGCGGGAAGAGCUCAAAUUUGAAAGCUGGCACCUCCGGUGUCCGCGUUGUAAUCUCGAGACGUGUUUUCCGUGCGGCUCUAUGGACAAGUCCCUUGGAAUAGGGCAUCGUAGAGGGUGAGAAUCCCGUACUUGCCAUGGAAGAACCGUGCUUUGCGAUACACGCUCUAAGAGUCGAGUUGUUUGGGAUUGCAGCUCAAAAUGGGUGGUAGACUCCAUCUAAAGCUAAAUAUCGGGGAGAGACCGAUAGCGAACAAGUACCGUGAGGGAAAGAUGAAAAGCACUUUGGAAAGAGAGUUAAAAGUACGUGAAAUUGUCGAAAGGGAAGCACUUGAAGUCAGCCAUGCUGCUUGAGACUCAGCCUGGCCUUUGGGCUUGGUGUAUUUCUCGGUGGCAAGCCAGCAUUGGUUUGGGUCGUCGGAGAAGCGCAUAGGGAAUGUAGCGUUUCCGGACGUGUUAUAGCCUUAUGCAGGAUACGACGACCUGGAUCAAGGAACGCAGUGUGCCCUCUGGGCGGGUCUUCGGACACCUUCACACUUAGGAUGCUGGCGUAAUGGCUUUAAGUGGCCCGUCUUA